GCGCCUCCAUCUUGCGGCGGGACGGGCCUGAGGGAGCCGCGGGGCUGGCGCCGGCUGGGACCUCUGGGGGCUCCCUCUCCGCCCCACCGGCGGCUCGUCAGUGCUCAGACACACCCCAGGACACCUCACGGUGCCGCAUCGCCGCAGGAGAGGGGCAGCCCUCAGCCCCGUCCCGCUCCCCUGAUAGCCGGCUGUAGGCGCACAAACGCUCGGGCAGUUCUGUGAUGGGGGGGAAGGGAGUCAUCUGAGGUGAAGGCAGAGCAGACGCACCAGAGGCGCAUCAAAGCUCUUAAGGUGCUUUGAAACGGAAAUUGCGGCCAGGACCAGUGCAGAUCCCCAGCCAGGGCGGGCGCCGAGGCAGAAGGAGGGGACAGCUUUGUGUGUGGGCCUGAUCCUGCAGCGCUCGGACCCCAGCGAGUCCUGGCGUCACUGCUCCUCCUGGCUCCAGCCGGCUCGCAUGGAAGAAGUUGCAGGAUGAGGCUCAGGGGUUCAUCUUUCCUCCUGUCUGGUAGAAGCUGAAGCACCAGUUUAAGCACUUGGUUCUGCUGCAGCUCCUGAAUGAGCAGGGUGUAACCAUGCACAGACAUCCUGUCAGCUACUGCAGAGGCCUGGAGCCCUGUGCCAACACUGUGAUGGGCUGUGCCUGCAGAAAUGCAGAAAGAGCUCCAUCCCAGUGCUCUCAGCAGCGAGUCCCUGCGGAGCCCUAAGGGCAAGAGCAUGUCCAUCUGCAAAGCAGAAAUGAGUCUGUUCCAGAGGACACUGGAAAUGACACUGCCAGAGCAGAGACUUCCCACCCACCUUGUGCAACGGCUUCAGUGAGACCACUUAUAAAGAUCAACAGAUCAGUAACAGACCCUAAAGGAUACACUUAAUAACAAAAUUUAAAACUACAGGACACUAAUUCUGACUGUAAAGGUGUCAAAUGGUGGCUCCUAUAGAAAUGUAUUUAUUGGAUUACUACUUGGAAAUACACUCUCUCAGCCAUGAACUCAAAUUACUGUUUCCAUCAACUCCUUUCUCUAUCUUGGAAAAGCUACAAACAGGAGUAAGAAAGAACAGAGAGUGAAGGACACCAUAUUCUCCUACACAGACAUCAAAGAAGUGAAUUUGUUAAGAAAGAAAAAGCCCCAAACAUUGCAGUACUUUUUCUGCCACAGAAGCAAAUAUAAACAAGCAUCUUGCCUGGUCAUUUUUGUUUUCCCUGGGUUUUGGGUUUGGUUUGGUUUGUUUUUUACUGGUGUUUUGAAUUACUCAAUCACUUGCCUUCAACAUUGAAACCAAGCACUCAAAGAGACCCUGGCAGCUCUAGAAAAAUAUAACACUCAAUUAAACCAGAAAAGAAAAAUGAUACAAUCAGCAGCAAUAUAUAUUCCCUAACAGAACUUUCCCCUAAUGUGCUUUAGCUCAAAAGCAGAGAUGAAAGAAAUUCAGUCUCUGAAUUUACCCACCCUAGCUAAGGUCUCUUGUGGUCUACUUGUUUAUGAAACCAUCAGUACAGUGUUAAGGAAUUGCUGCCUGGCCCUUCCCUGGAAAUGGAGAAUCAUCAACGUCUUCAUAACAGGGGCUUCAGGGAGCAAAUCACAGCCAUGUGGAACCUUCUUAGCAACAAUCUGAAAGAGCAGUAAAUUAAUACUUAUAAAAAAUAGCAAAUAAGUCAAAGAACAGACAUGAUGCCUCGUAAAUUAAGCUGGCAAGCCAGCCAUUUCAUUACAGCUAAAGAGAAAUUCUGCAUUUAGCAAGAGGCAUGGGACUGUACUUACAAAAGGCAGGUUUCUACCUUGGAAAGCAAGACAUUAACAUGGUCAAUUAUCAACUGCACAGUAACUAUAGAAACUCCUGGUACAACUUUAUGGCUGAAAGGGUUAGUGAAAUUCUUGGGUGCAUAAAUAACAAUAUAAAUAGGAAAAGUCUGGUUACUUUCAAUCCUGCACUUGGCACUUUUGCACCUGCUAGCAGAAUAAAGCAUCCUGUUCUGGCAUCCCCAAUUCAAGCAAGACAUUGAUAUGCUGGAGAGGGCUCCGAGGACCACAAGAACUACAAAGGAUCGAAACAUCUUGAAGUGAAAGCCUCAAGUUCACUCUCUACUCACUCUCUCCAAUUUAGCAAAGAGAAAGAAAAUUGAAAAGCCACAAACUCCUGCUCAGCCUAUGUGGAAAAGAAUGCUGAUAACAGAGGGCUCCUUGUUCUAGUAGACAAAAGUAUAACAAGAUUCAAUGACUUUAAGUUAAAGCUGGAGAAGUCUGGCCUUGAACUAUGGUGCACAUUUUUGCAACAAGAGAGAGAGAGAGAAGAAUUUUUUGUAAGCAUCUUGUUAGGUGUUUGGAUGCACUUUUCAUCCAUGGGAAUUUUCAAAUUCAAGUUCUUUCAGCUGUUUUUUAAAAAAAUUAUGUUUAAGCCAAAUAAAAGUAUACAGUCUUACA